rnacentral:rRNA from 1 species
UCCUGGCUAGGACGAACGCUGGCGGCGUGCCUAAUACAUGCAAGUCGAACGGUCUUUCUAUGGAAGCUUGCUUCCACUGGGAAGAUAGUGGCGAACGGGUGAGUAACACGUGGGUAACCUGCCCAUAAGAGGGGGGAUAACAUCCGGAAACGGGUGCUAAUACCGCAUAGUUUUCUUGAUCGCAUGAUCGGGAAAGGAAAGACGGCCUUUGUGCUGUCGCUUAUGGAUGGACCCGCGGCGUAUUAGUUAGUUGGUGAGGUAAUGGCUCACCAAGACGAUGAUACGUAGCCGACCUGAGAGGGUGAUCGGCCACAUUGGGACUGAGACACGGCCCAAACUCCUACGGGAGGCAGCAGUAGGGAAUCUUCCGCAAUGGACGAAAGUCUGACGGAGCAACGCCGCGUGAGUGAAGAAAGGUUUUCGGAUCGUAAAACUCUGUUGUCAGAGAAGAACAAGUUGGAGAGUAACUGCUCCAGCCUUGACGGUAUCUGACCAGAAAGCCACGGCUAACUACGUGCCAGCCGCCGC